AUCAACUUUCGAUGGUAGGAUAGAGGCCUACCAUGGUGGUAACGGGUAACGGGGUGUUAGGGCACGACACCGGGGAGGGAGCCUGAGAAACGGCUACCACAUNCAAGGAUGGCAGCAGGCGCGCAAAUUACCCAAUCCCGACACGGGGAGGUAGAGACAAUAAAUAACAAUACGGGGUUCUUUAGGAUCUCGUAAUUGGAAUGAGUACAAUUUAAAUCUCUUAACGAGGAACAGUUGGAGGGCAAGUCUGGUGCCAGCAGCCGCGGUAAUUCCAGCUCCAAUAGCGUAUAUUAAAGUUGUUGCAGUUAAAAAGCUCGUAGUUGAAUUUCGAGACCGGCUUACUGGUCGUGCUAUUGUACGUACUGGUAUAAUCGGUUUCUCCUUUCUGACGAACUAUAAUGCCAUUAAUUUGGUGUUUUAGGGAAUCAGGACUGUUACUUUGAAAAAAUUAGAGUGUUUAAAGCAGGCUCACGCUUGAAUACAUUAGCAUGGAAUAACGGAAUAGGACGUUUGAUUCUACUUUGUUGGUUUCUAGGAUCGACGUAAUGAUUAAUAGGGAUAGUUGGGGGCAUUAGUAUUCAAUUGUCAGAGGUGAAAUUCUUGGAUUUAUUGAAGACUAACUACUGCGAAAGCAUUUGCCAAGGAUGUUUUCAUUAAUCAAGAACGAAAGUUAGGGGAUCGAAGACGAUCAGAUACCGUCGUAGUCUUAACCAUAAACUAUGCCGACUAGGGAUCGGAUGAUGUUAAUUUUUUAAUGACUCAUUCGGCGCCUUACGGGAAACCAAAGUGUUUGGGUU
rnacentral:rRNA from 1 species